rnacentral:lncRNA from 1 species
GAGACAAUUUUUGGCAUGAGAUUUGGAGAAUAGAAGUGAAGUAGCAACCAUCUUGUCUUUUAAUGCCCAAAGGUUGAAGCAAGGUUGUCAGAUGUUUUUGUAGCUCAUUGUGUCUUAUCUGUUGGCUCACCUCCUUGGCAUUGGAAUGCAGCCAGGCUUGAAAACAACUGGUGAACUGCCCUCAGAUCCUCCUGGAGUUUCUCCAAUUCGUAUGUCACAUUGUGUUUAGCUCCAUGAUGAAGGGCGAUGGUGUGUCCUGUGGAAUACUCAUAUCUUCGAGUGUGGAAGCACUGAGAAGUGAAGAAUGGAUUCUGGUUCCAGUCUGUCCUGAAAGUUCUACAUUACCCUGCCUUCCCUCACUCUCCAUCUUCUUACCCUCAGACAGCCUGUCUGUGGACUUUGAGUCCUGGAUCAGAUGGAGAGGCAACAGUCAUGCUGAGAUUGCUUAACUCAUACAAGUGUGUAAGGUCAAAUCCUUGUAACAAAUCCCUUUACACACACACACCUAUGUAUAUAUGUAAGUAUAUAUGUCUUUAUACCGCCUAUGGAAGCUUGUGCUUUUCCAUUUGAAUGCUGAUUGAGACAGCCAGUUUAUGAGAGUAUAGAAGUAAAUUGCCUAAGAGUGCUUAUCUGUGUGUGUGUGUAUGUGUGUGUGUAGGUGUGUGUAGGUGUACACAAAAGCACUAUUGGUUAGGAUAAUGGUAGCCUUUGGAACUAACAUAUCCAUAAAACAAAUUUCUCAGCAACUGAACACAAUCGAUCUCUUUUUCUUCCUCUAUGAAUGUCUAGUGUGUGUAUUUCUGCUUGGUAGGGAGAGAACAUAUUCCUUUUCUGUACCGAUUUAGAAACCCAGCCUGAGGAGAUUCUACUGCUUUCAAGAAGUGAUUUCUGAGGUCUCCUUGGGCAACAAAAUUCAGCCAACAGGUGGGAGAAGAGGGUGGAAUAUUCAUAUCCACUUCCUAGCGCCUCAGGUUAGACGUGACACUCACCACUCUGCUUAUAUUCCAUGGUGAGAACUGGUUCCUUGGCACCACUUAGAAGGAAGAGGUGUCCUGGGAAAUGGGAUCCCUGGUGGGGCCGCCUCUUUCAGACACAACUGUGUUGUAGAAGGGGAACACACGUGUGCGGAGGAAUAGCUAGCCAUCACUGCCACACAGACGCUUAUGUAAAAUAUGUUGAUUAGAUCAGAAAACUCAACCAUCUUUGUCAUCCAUCCUGGUUCUUGGCCUGCUUAGGAAAAAAAACAAAAGGAUCAGUCCGCAGGGAGCCUGAGAGAAUUUGGCUGACUUCAGAAUGGCUUGUUUAAUUGUAUCCUGAGGUGAAUUGAAGGCAGCACAGCUUGCAGCCACUUUGGAAGGGGCUCUGGCCCUUGGAGAUAAAGCUAAAAUUGAAAUAUCCAUUCGAAAAUUCUACACUAACUGCCAACACCAUUAACAUCCAAGUUCCAUCUGAAUAUGUCUUGAAGGUAGCUUGCCGACUCCCAGAUGCAGCAGCUCCACCAGAGUUUGAUCCUUUUGUUUGCUGGAGUUGGCUGCUGUAGCUACAGACAUCAUUGGUCUGGAGGAAGCAGUUAUGUACCAGCAUUUGGUCCCCCUUUUGGAAUAAACUGGCUGGCCAAUUUUACAGGCCUUUCUCCUCCUUUCUCCCAAUUUAGCACUUUUGUGCAGGAGUGAAAAUCAACAUCUAUUUGAAAUCCCAUUUGAUAUCCUUUAAAUAUGUUUUAUAUUAAGCAUUUUCAGUUUUAUAUAUAAAUAAGGGAUCAUAGAUUUGCAAUUUAAAAAGAAAUCAACAACUAAUUAGAACUCACAUAUGUUUAUGUUUUUCCUCCAUUUACUCACUGGUAUGUAAAAUUGUUUUUCAUUUUAUUUUUCCUCCUGAUCUGAUUUUCUAUUUUGGCAUUUUCCCCUUAUGUUUGUUUCAUAGACUGAGAUUAGGGGAUCUAAUACAGAUCACUAAACUAUCAGAGAGUCAAGAUUUAGUAAGCAUUGUAUGUAAUUCAACAAGCUGUACAUCUGCUGAAAAUCUCUUUUUGCUAAAAGCAGCACAUCUGAUAAAUUCUUAAUUUAUUGAUAGUUUUUUCCCCUCCUAAAAAGAAGAAAUAAUCAGAACUACUGUUUUGUACUCAGUUCUUAUCAGUAAGGAUGUCUAUUUGGUGCUAUCAAGGAAAGUCAAGACCCAGAAGGAAGUAUUCUUUCCAUCUUACAGUUUUAGUAUCUUAGAAAGGGAAUCCUUAGCCUAGACAGACAUGUGAUCUAAAGCUUAGCUAAGCAUAUUUCUACAAGUUCAGGAAAAAAAAAAUAAUCCAAUGAUCAGUUGGGGUGUUUUACUAAAAGUCUAAGAAGCUGAAUAUCUGUGUAAGGUAAGGUCUGGGAUCCCAAGCCAAGCUUUAAACAGUCUCCCUUAAGAGUCUAAAGCAAAACUAUUACCAUAGUCAAGACUUGAGAAAAGAUGUUGGAAAAGGAAAAACAUAUGAGGAAGCCCAAUCCUGCAAUGCUUUUCCCCUGAAGGUAGUUACAGAUUCAUAAACAAUGCAGAACCAAAGGCUAUAGAUCAGAGCAGAAAGAUUUCCCUAGAGGUUGGGAGACUGAGCUGAAUUUCCAACAGUCUCACUAAACCUGAAAUCAAAGCCUAUAAGGGGAAGAUGCCUCUAGAUGUCCAGUUAGAUCCCCAUAGGGUCUGUACUCUAGGAUUAAGACCAAAGAAGAAACUAACCAGUGUACAUAAAAUAUUGACACACUUUCAAACUAGCUAUAUUGCAGCUUGGGUUCAGAUGGCAUACAUUAUUCUUAAUAUUUGCAAGAAAGAAAAAGUUACUUCUAUCUGGAAGAAGUUAUCAUUGGCUAAAGCCUUAAAUUAUCUCUAUAACUUUUCAUGUAAAAUUACUGCUUCACCAGGCAGACUAGAAGAUGAUAACAAAUGACCGAAAAUAAACAACAAAAUAGAAAAAGAUAACAAAAUAGAACCACAGGAAUUCACAUAUUGAUGUUAAUAGCUAUGGACUUUAACAUAAAUAUGAUUAAUAUAUUAAAGGAAAGAGAUAAGAAGAUGGGUUACUUUACCAGAGAAUUGAAAUCCAUACAAACCAAAUAGAAAAAUGUAUAAGCAAAAAGCAUAAUAGCUGAAAUUAAACCAUCCAUAUAAACCAAUGGAUGGUUUAACUGCAGAUUAGGUACACAGAAGAGAAGAUUAGUGAAUUAGAAACAAGUAAAUAAAACAUAUUAAGACAGAAAGACAGAACAAAAAGCAAAAUUAUUUGAAGGAAUGAAUGAUGGUAGAGGACUCCAAUAAAGAAAAAAAGUAGUUGAUUCUAGAAUGAGAGUUGGAAAGAUUAGCUAUAAAUUGGUUGCCUAUUUUGUAAAAACAGUUUUUUUGGGAAGACAGCCAUUCUAUCUAUUUACAUGUUUUGUGUCGCACUAGAAGUUGACUACUUGUACCAGAGACCACAUGAAUUGCAAGCCUAAAAUAUUUAAGAAAAAUUUUGACAAGUCCUCCCUUAAGAGCCCAACCAAUCUUCAGGCAGUGUAAUUUUGAAUAUCCACAUUUUUAUAUGAUGGCCUUUAGUUAUUUCCCCAAAAGUGGGACAAGAGAAUAUAAAAAGCAAGAUAGUAGACUCAAAUUUUAAAAUGUUAGUAAUUACAUUGAAAGUAAUUGUCAGAUUGCAUUUUUUCACAGAAAUAGAACAAACAAUCCAAAAAUUUAUAUGGAACCACAAAAGACCCAGAAUUGCUAAAGCAAUUCUGAGCAACAAAAACUGAGCAGGAAGCAUCACUCUCCCAGACUUCAGGCAAUAUUACAAAGCCACAUCCAUCAAGACAGUGUGGUACUGGUACCAAAACAGACAUACAGGCCAAUGGAACAGAAUAGAGAACCCAGAAAUAAACCCAGACACUAUGGUCAAUUAAUCUUUGACAAAGGAAGCAAGAACAUAAAAGGGGAAAAAGACAGUCUUUUCAGUAAGUAUUGCUGGGAAACCUGGACAGCUGCAUACAAAUCAAUGAAACUAGAACACACCCUCACACCAUGCACCAAAAUAAACUCAAAAUGGCUUAAAGACAAAUAUAAGACAAGACACCAUCAAACUCCUGGAAGAGAACAUAGGCAAAACAUUCUCUGACAUCAACCUUAUGAAUAUUUUCUCAGGUUAGUCUCCCAAAGCAACAGAAAUAAGAGCAAAAAUAAACCAAUGGGACCUAAGCAAACUGACAAGCUUUUGCAUAGCAAAGG